rnacentral:rRNA from 1 species
UACGUAGGGUGCGAGCGUUUAUCGGAAUUACUGGGCGUAAAGCGCUCGCAGGCGGCUUUUCAAGUCAGAUGUGAAAGCUCCGGGCUUAACCUGGGACUGGCAGUUGAAACUGGAAGGCUAGAGUCCGGCAGGGGGGGGAGGAAUUCCGAGUGUAGCGGUGGAAUGCGUAGAGAUGUGGAGGAACACCGAUGGCGAAGGCAGCCGCCUGGGCCAACACUGACGCUCAUGCCCGAAAGCGUGGGGAGCAAACAGG